rnacentral:lncRNA from 1 species
GCCAAGGCCAUCAGGGUCCAUGAGCUCGGCGGCCCCGAGGUGAUGAGAUGGGAGGAGGUGGAGGUCGGGGACCCCAAGGAAGGCGAGAUCCGCAUCAGGACCACCGCCAUCGGCGUCAACUUCAUCGACGUCUACUUCCGGAAGGGGGUCUACGCCGCGCCCGCCAUGCCCUUCACACCAGGUACUCUAUUGUUCCUUCCUUUCCUGCUGCAACCCCAUCAUCCAUUGUUAGCCGCUUUGAAUUCAUCAAGGAAACCAACCAACGUACAUACCUAGUAGAGUAUAUAACAAUUCGAUCGAUUCCCACACGAACACAACCUAGGCAUGGAAGCUGUUGGCGUCGUCACUGCAGUUGGGCCUGGCCUCACUGGUAGAAAAGUUGGGGAUGUUGUUGCCUACGCUGGCAACCCCAUGGGAUCCUAUGCCCAGGAGCAAAUCCUUCCAGCCAGUGUCGCCGUCCCCGUGCCGCCUUCAGUUGAUCACAAGCAAGCAGCCUCGGUGAUGCUCAAGGGAAUGACCGCACAUGUCCUGCUUCGCCGCGUGUUCAAGGUUCAAAGUGGCCACACUGUCCUGGUACACGCUGCUGCUGGUGGAGUUGGCUCACUCCUUUGUCAAUGGGCAAACGCGCUCGGUGCCACCGUCAUCGGCACUGUCUCUAAUGAAGAGAAAGCGGCUCAGGCAACUCAGGAUGGAUGCCACCAUGUCAUAAUCUACACCAACGAGGAUGUCACCACAAGAGUCAAGGAGAUUACAUCCGGAAAAGGUGUCAACGUGGUCUAUGAUUCUGUUGGCAAGGAUACAUACAAGGUACUACUACCACCACUAUACAGCUAACUCUCAUUGCCAUGACAGAUUAAAUACCCAAUGAUAUUAAUGAUUUGUUAUGGCGCAGGCUUCUGUUGAGUGCCUGGCAUCGCGCGGCUUCAUGGUGUCCUUUGGGCAAUCGUCCGGCAAGCCUGACCCGAUUCCAAUGAGCGACCUUGCUUCCAAGUCCCUGUUCCUCACUCGGCCCAGCCUGAUGCAUUACACUGCUACCCGCGAUGAGCUGCUGGAGUCUGCUGGCGAGGUGUUUGCCAAUGUUGCCAAUGGGGUGCUGCGCGUCCGCGUCAACCACACCUAUCCGUUGUCGGAAGCGGCCCGAGCCCAUGCAGAUCUGGAGGCCAGGAAGACAUCGGGGUCCAUAGUACUCAUCCCGGAUUCGGAUAGCUAGGCCUACAGAAAUGGUGAUGUUUGUAUGCUGCUGGUUUGAUCUGUUGAUGCAUAGGUUCAAGUCUGUUAAUUUCUCCCAAUGAAUAAGUUAGCCGUGCCUUUGUGUUGUUGUGCCAUGAGAAGAGAGACUUUCUGUUGAUGGUGCUCGCUAGUAACAAGGUGAUACAGU